UGGGGAAUAUUUCACAAUGGGGGAAACCCUGAUGCAGCGACGCCGCGUGAACGAAGAAGGUAUUCGUAUCGUUAAGUUCUGUCCUAUGGGAAGAUAAUGACAGUACCAUAGAAGAAAGCUCCGUCUCAAUACGUGCCAGCAGCCGCGGUAAUACGUAGGUCCCGACCGUUGUCCGGAUUUAUUGGGCGUAAAGCGAGCGCAGGCGGUUAGAUAAGUCUGAAGUUAAAGGCAGUGGCUCAAGCAUUGUAGGCUUUGGAAACUGUUUAACUUGAGUGCAGAAGGGGAAAGUGGAAUUCCAUGUGUGGCGGUGAAAGGAGUAGAUAUAUGGAGAAACACCGGGGGCGAAAGCGGCUCUCUGGUCUGUAACUGACGCUAAGGCUCGAAAGCGUGGGGAGCGAACAGG
rnacentral:rRNA from 1 species